AACGAACGCUGGCGGCAGGCUUAACACAUGCAAGUCGAACGCCCCGCAAGGGGAGUGGCAGACGGGUGAGUAACGCGUGGGAACAUACCCUUUCCUGCGGAAUAGCUCCGGGAAACUGGAAUUAGUACCGCAUACGCCCUACGGGGGAAAGAUUUAUCGGGGAAGGAUUGGCCCGCGUUGGAUUAGCUAGUUGGUGGGGUAAAGGCCUACCAAGGCGACGAUCCAUAGCUGGUCUGAGAGGAUGAUCAGCCACAUUGGGACUGAGACACGGCCCAAACUCCUACGGGAGGCAGCAGUGGGGAAUAUUGGACAAUGGGCGCAAGCCUGAUCCAGCCAUGCCGCGUGAGUGAUGAAGGCCUUAGGGUUGUAAAGCUCUUUCACCGAUGAAGAUAAUGACGGUAGUCGGAGAAGAAGCCCCGGCUAACUUCGUG
rnacentral:rRNA from 1 species